GCUUGCACGUACACCACCUUAGGCUAUGAUUUCAUACACCUAAGCAGGGUUGGGCUUGGUCAGUACUUGGAUAAGAGAUUUACAAGAAAGUCCGUUGCAGGAA
rnacentral:rRNA from 1 species